rnacentral:lncRNA from 1 species
GGAAAGGCAAAUUUGCUAUCUAUUCUUUAGCUGGGCUAUCCAUCUUCUCCUGUCCUUGGACAGUGGAGCUCCUGGUUCUCAGGCCUUUGGACUUGGACUGAAUUAUAGCUUUACAGAUGGCAUAGCAUUGGGCUUCUUGCUCUCUAUAAUCUGAUAUGCCAAUUCCUGUAAUAAAUUUUGUCUUAUUUAUCUCUGUCUAUAUCCUAUUGGUACAGUUUCUCUGGAGAACCCUCACUAAUAUAUAUAUUCCUGCUAAUCUAUCAUCAAAUCUCCUCCAUUCUUUCUCCAAUCCCCCUCGUGUUUCCUCCAAGUCUGCUACUACAUGGGUCUAGGUCACUAUUGUUUUGCCCAGAUUUCCAGAAUUCCCGCCUUCCCUCCUAGUCACACUUCAUUCUUUUAGUUCUUGCCUUUUAGCAUGCGUCUUCCUAUCUGAGUCCUUGCACAUCCUGUUUCCUCUACCUGAAAUCUUCAUUUCUCUGCUCUUCACCUAGUUAAGCUUGUUCACCUUCCAGACCACUCCACUGCACUGCAACUUGGAGAAGUCUUUCCUCAUACCCCUGAGCAAGGCAGGCCCUUCUUUUAGGCUCUCUUAUAGCACCAACUCUUUACUUGCAAACUUUUGUCACAGUUACAUUUUAUAUUUUAAUUAAUUAAUGUCUGCCUUCUCUAUCAAGGAGAUCAAGAGGAAAGGAGGAGUUCUUUGUUUUAGCCCCUGGUGCCUUGUAGAGUACACAGGACAGAGUUGAUAAAUAGUUAUUUAAUGAAUGCAUAGAAAUAUAAAUAACACAAGUGUUAAGUUCGCAGGAAGAAGAAAGCUUCUGUGCCAAUUGUAGUCAGAGGAGCUGGAACACCCGCAAAUUUCAAGACCUCUCUUCUAAGGGCUUCCAAGAACAGAUGUGGGAUCUAGGAAGCCAGUGACUACAGUGAAUAAUCUGCUCUGCAAAUCCCACUCUCCAGGAACAGAGGGAUGACCGUAGAGAGGAGUGUUUUCCAUCUAUUAAGUCCAAUGAUACUGAUAACAGAUUAGAAAUACAAUCUUCAAUGUGAUAGCCCUUGGCCACCUCUCGCUACUGAGCCAUGGAGAUGUGACUGGUCUGAACUGUGAUAUGCUGGGAAUGUAAAAUAUACACUGGAUUUGAACUUAGUAGAAGGAAAGCUAAAUUUCAUAAUAAUAUAAUAAUUAUUUUUUUGAGAUGAAGUCUCACUCUAUUGCCCAGGCCGGAGUCCAAUGGUGUGAUUUUGGCUCACUGCAACCUCUGCCUCCCAGGUUCAAGAGAUUCUUCUGCCUCGGCCUCACAAGU